UACAGAGGUCUCAAGCGUUGUUCGGAUUCAUUGGGCGUAAAGGGUGCGUAGGCGGCGCGGUAAGUCGGGUGUGAAAUCCUUGGAGCUUAACUCCGAAACUGCAUUCGAUACUGCCGUGCUUGAGGACUGGAGAGGAGACUGGAAUUUACGGUGUAGCGGUGAAAUGCGUAGAUAUCGUAAAGGAAGACCAGUGGCGAAGGCGGGUCUCUGGAC
rnacentral:rRNA from 1 species